rnacentral:rRNA from 1 species
GUGAGUAACCUGCCCCCGACUCUGGGAUAACUGCUAGAAAUGGUAGCUAAUACCGGAUAUGACGACUGGCCGCAUGGUCUGGUCGUGGAAAGAACUUCGGUUGGGGAUGGACUCGCGGCCUAUCAGGUUGUUGGUGAGGUAAUGGCUCACCAAGCCUACGACGGGUAGCCGGCCUGAGAGGGUGACCGGCCACACUGGGACUGAGACACGGCCCAGACUCCUACGGGAGGCAGCAGUGGGGAAUAUUGCACAAUGGGCGCAAGCCUGAUGCAGCAACGCCGCGUGAGGGAUGACGGCCUUCGGGUUGUAAACCUCUUUUAGUAGGGAAGAAGCGAAAGUGACGGUACCUGCAGAAAAAGCACCGGCUAACUACGUGCCAGCAGCCGCGGUAAUACGUAGGGUGCAAGCGUUGUCC